UACAUAAUGGUGAUUAUAGUUGCUAUUUUUUUGAAGACGAACAAUAAUAGUGUGCCGAUAAGCAAGAACAAAUGAUUUUUGC
rnacentral:ncRNA from 1 species